rnacentral:rRNA from 1 species
CACUCCUGCGGGAGGCAGCAGUGGGGAAUAUUGGACAAUGGGCGCAAGCCUGAUCCAGCCAUGCCGCGUGAGUGAUGAAGGCCCUAGGGUUGUAAAGCUCUUUCACCGGAGAAGAUAAUGACGGUAUCCGGAGAAGAAGCCCCGGCUAACUUCGUGCCAGCAGCCGCGGUAAUACGAAGGGGGCUAGCGUUGUUCGGAAUUACUGGGCGUAAAGCGCACGUAGGCGGAUCGAUCAGUCAGGGGUGAAAUCCCAGGGCUCAACCCUGGAACUGCCUUUGAUACUGUCGAUCUGGAGUAUGGAAGAGGUGAGUGGAAUUCCGAGUGUAGAGGUGAAAUUCGUAGAUAUUCGGAGGAACACCAGUGGCGAAGGCGGCUCACUGGUCCAUUACUGACGCUGAGGUGCGAAAGCGUGGGGAGCAAACAGGAUUAGAAACCCUUGUAGUCCC